rnacentral:rRNA from 1 species
AGAGUUUGAUCAUGGCUCAGGACGAACGCUGGCGGCGCGCCUAACACAUGCAAGUCGAGCGGGGAUAUCUUAAGAGUAAUCGAAAGAUGUUCUAGCGGCGGACGGGUGAGUAACGCGUGAGUGACCUGCCUUACACAGGGGGAUACCGUACCGAAAGGUACACUAAUACCGCAUGAGACCACAGCAGCGCAUGCUGCAGGGGUCAAAGGAGUAAUCCGGUGUAAGAUGGACUCGCGUCCGAUUAGAUAGUUGGCGGGGUAACGGCCCACCAAGUCAGUGAUCGGUAGCCGACCUGAGAGGGUGAUCGGCCACAUUGGAACUGAGAGACGGUCCAAACUCCUACGGGAGGCAGCAGUGGGGAAUAUUGGGCAAUGGGGGAAACCCUGACCCAGCGACGCCGCGUGAGGGAAGAAGGUUCUCGGAUUGUAAACCUCUGUUCUUGGUGAAGAGAAGAAGACGGUAGCCAAGGAGGAAGCCCCGGCUAACUACGUGCCAGCAGCCGCGGUAAUACGUAGGGGGCGAGCGUUGUCCGGAAUGAUUGGGCGUAAAGGGCGCGUAGGCGGCUGAUUAAGUCUGGAGUGGAAGUCCUAUUUUUAAGGUAGGAAUUGCUUUGGAAACUGAUCAGCUUGAGUGCAGGAGAGGUUAUCGGAAUUCCCGGUGUAGCGGUGAAAUGCGUAGAGAUCGGGAGGAACACCAGUGGCGAAGGCGGGUAACUGGACUGCAACUGACGCUGAGGCGCGAAAGUGUGGGGAGCAAACAGGAUUAGAUACCCUGGUAGUCCACACUGUAAACGAUGAAUGCUAGGUGUAGGGGGUAUCGACCCCUUCUGUGCCGGAGUAAACACAAUAAGCAUUCCGCCUGGGGAGUACGGUCGCAGAUUAAACUCAAAGGAAUUGACGG